rnacentral:rRNA from 1 species
AGAGUUUGAUCAUGGCUCAGGAUGAACGCUAGCUACAGGCUUAACACAUGCAAGUCGAGGGGAAACGACAUCGAAAGCUUGCUUUUGAUGGGCGUCGACCGGCGCACGGGUGAGUAACGCGUAUCCAACCUGCCCAUCACUUGGGGAUAACCUUGCGAAAGUAAGACUAAUACCCAAUGACGUCUCUAGAAGACAUCUGAAAGAGAUUAAAGAUUUAUCGGUGAUGGGUGGGGAUGCGUCUGAUUAGCUUGUUGGCGGGGUAACGGCCACCAAGGCGACGAUCAGGUAGGGGUUCUGAGGGGAAGGUCCCCCGACAUUGGAACUGAGACACGGUCCAAACUCCUACGGGAGGCA